UACGUAGGGUGCGAGCGUUGUCCGGAAUUACUGGGCGUAAAGAGCUCGUAGGCGGUUUGUCGCGUCUGCUGUGAAAACCCGAGGCUCAACCUCGGGCCUGCAGUGGGUACGGGCAGACUAGGGUGCGGUAGGGGAGAUUGGAAUUCCUGGUGUAGCGGUGGAAUGCGCAGAUAUCAGGAGGAACACCGAUGGCGAAGGCAGAUCUCUGGGCCGUAACUGACGCUGAGGAGCGAAAGCAUGGGGAGCGAACAGG
rnacentral:rRNA from 1 species